GGGGCGGUGCAGGUUCCUCCGCGCGGCUGGUGAGGGGCAUGGGCCUUACGCCCGCGCGGCGCCAACAUUUGGGGCCGCCUCCGUUUGCCCCGGCGGCUGGGGGGUUCCCGCCGCCUCCGCGCAGGGGGUCCCGGAGCGAGGUCCCGCUGGAACUGUCGGCUCUGCCGGCAACGGAGGGCCUGAGGCGGCAGCGGCUUCAGCCGCAGCAUGAGCCGGGCGUGCGUGGCCGCGCCACAGGUGAUCCUAGGCAAUAAAAAAAAAUAAAGCUGUUGGCCGUCAUCGCUGUGGGUUAAAGUGUGGUUUGCCGGUUUCUGUGGUAACUCCGUUUGUCUGACGCCCUUUUAGGUCGGUGGGGCCGUUACCCGCGGGCUCCGCAAGGGGCACGUGGGAGUCCGUGAUGUGUUCCCCGAAGACAUGGAAGUGGAGUGGGGGUGCGGGUUCGCAGAUGUGCCGAUCAGCCUGGAACUGAGGUCCCAUGUUUCCAGGGGAAGUUGGGGCGUUCUUUUAAUUUGAGUGAGCCAAUUCCCAGGCUGUUUCUCAGUUAAUCUGGAUACUGCACAAAUGUUUGGCUCUGCUCAGCUCUGUGCACCUAGAGGUUAAUCUUAGAGUGUGAUCAGAACCUGUAGUUGUCUCAAUUUCAUUUGAAAAUGCACAUGCUUCUAUGUUCCUGUAUAUCUUUAAGUUUUUACAAUUGGAGCCAUACAACACACGUCUUGAUCUGACUGGAAAAUGAGCACUGAAGAAGCAGAUUUAAUAAUAGCGUGCUUAUGAGUACAUUAUAUAAACUGAGCGAUUGCAUGUUGCAUCAGAAUUUUAGCUGCUGUAUAUUUAUUGUACCAACGUAUAAGUGCAUGUGCUCAUAGAUAUGUGCAUGUAUAUUUAUGUAUAUAUUCUUAAAACAUUGUCCAGUUCUGCUUAUCUUAAAAUUCACUGGUAGCAUCAGAAGCCACUUGGCAGAGUAUUUCUGCAAUAUCUUUUGUCACAAUGGAUUAAGGAAGUUCCCUUCCCCACAGCUCUUUGAAACAAUUGUUGGAUUUUAAGGUUCUUUUUCCAUUUUGCCUUUAUAAUUCCAUGCUUGAUGAUAAUUAUGACAGUGCAAGCAAAUACUGAGAUGUUUCCAGAAAGCUAAAUAGUUACUAAAAAGCCACAGAUAAUCAAGGAUAUUGUUAGGUAGAUAUAAGAAAAUGAAGACAUUAAAGGAUUUGCAAAAAGUAAUUCCUCACUCAGGAUGAAUAACGGGUAUAAUUCUAAAUAGCUUUGUGCAUUAGACAUAGCACCUGCCAUCAGUAGCCUGGUCUAGUUAAAUAAUAACAGCAGAUGCUGUAAUGUAUAGUAGUGUUGUCCUGUGAAGAAUUAAGUGGAAGAAGGUCGAUACACAAUAUCUGUAUCAAUAUCUCUUUACAGAUGUGGGUUCUGUUGUGUUCUGACAUCAAUCAAGUUUAUCACAGUUGAAACCUAUGCAUGUGAGAUAAAUAAUACAUGUGUGAACAUUUGUGGAGUCAACAGGAAAGAGAAUAUAAUGCAAAGGGGCCACAUUUAAAGAAAAAUUAAAAUGGAUCUAAUUAUGCAGUCAUUAAAACCAUAGGGAACUGUGCAAUUGAUGUCAGUAAGAAAAGGAGCUGGCCUAAGGUUUGUUGUUUAUGAACAAUGGAAUAUUGGAAUAAAAUGUCAUGGUCCCAAUCUUAUCUGAAACACUAUGGUUUUGAGUUUGUGAGGUAUAAAGUAUUUUUCUUAAUAUAUAUUAUUUGAAUUUAAAGUAAUUAUAAAUUAAAUAUAAAAUGUAAGCUCCACCUGUUGGUGAAAAUGUGGGAUUUCAAAUGGUAUUUGUUACUUUGCCCAGUUCCAGAAGGGCUUUAUGAAAGAAUAAUGUAAUGGUGAUUUUUCUACUUAAAUUCUGAAGAAAUUUGAAGGAGUAUGGACUAGGUCUUAGGAGGAACAAGUGUGAAAAUAGCAUGGGAUGAAUCAGCAUUAUGACCAGCCAAGGCAUCCAGGCUAUUUUAACUCUAAAGCAAAAAAGAUGCCAGUUUAAAAGUUUUACUCAGUUCAUAAAAAAUGUUAUGUCAGAGCAUUGUUUUAAUAAUGCAUUUCAUACUUGAUUGUCACUGAGGCUGAGCUUUUUCAUCUCAUGACCUCAAGUCUACUCAGUCUUUGUGUACAAAUAUUGUUCUGUCACAGUUAAAGUAAAAGCUCUUUCUUGAUUAGAUGCACAUGCAGAAGUUUCCAGGUAUUUCAUGUGGCCAUAACUCUUCCUGUAAUAAUAACAAGAUAUAAUAGAUUUAUACUUAAGUAUUUGAAAGAAAUAUAGCCAUCUGUGCUAAUAGGUCCUCUUAUAAAAAAAUUUUGGUGGAAAAAAUCCUCGCUAAAAUAAUUCCAGUUUAUAGUUGAAAUGUUUUCCAUACUCCUAAAGUCGCUGUGGCAGUGGUAGUGUAUGGGUUGAAGAGUCAAGGUGGUCCCUAAAAGUCAUGAAGGGAAAGUGGAUGAGUUAAGGCUUAACUCAUCACAUCAUCAGGUUGUUUCUAGCAGAUGUCUCAAACUAAGUCUUACAUGUUCUGCAAGAGGAAAAGUGAGCCUUCCCAGCUUUCAUCUGCUUACCCCAGCUCUUUCAUUCUUCUGCAAGUUAUGUAGGGGAAGAGGACUUCCUUAUUAUGGUCCUAACAAAGUUCAUGGAACAAACAGGAGAAAAAGAAACUGGAAGGAAUUUUUCCAUUCCUGUGAAUGCUUGACACCCAUCCCUUGACUUUCCAGCAUCUUAAUGGAAAAUGCUUUCUCCCUUGACAUGUUGGAAUUAUCAUUGGAAGACAUUUCUGAUUGCAUGCCUCAAAGUCUGCAAAAAGAAGAAUAAGCUACUGAAAGAUCUUUCACCUUACUCCAGAGUUCACUGUCCAGAGGAGACAUUGUGGCGUCACGGGCAAGGCAGUGACCUGUAAGUGGUGAGAUAAAAGAUUUUGUUCCCAGCUG